rnacentral:rRNA from 1 species
GAGCGGUACAUUUCUAGCUUGCUAGAAGAUGACGAGCGGCGGACGGGUGAGUAAUGCUUGGGAACAUGCCUUGAGGUGGGGGACAACCAUUGGAAACGAUGGCUAAUACCGCAUAAUGUCUACGGACCAAAGGGGGCUUCGGCUCUCGCCUUUAGAUUGGCCCAAGUGGGAUUAGCUAGUUGGUGAGGUAACGGCUCACCAAGGCGACGAUCCCUAGCUGGUUUGAGAGGAUGAUCAGCCACACUGGAACUGAGACACGGUCCAGACUCCUACGGGAGGCAGCAGUGGGGAAUAUUGCACAAUGGGCGCAAGCCUGAUGCAGCCAUGCCGCGUGUGUGAAGAAGGCCUUAGGGUUGUAAAGCACUUUCAGUCAGGAGGAAAGGUUAGUAGUUAAUACCUGCUAGCUGUGACGUUACUGACAGAAGAAGCACCGGCUAACUCCGUGCCAGCAGCCGCGGUAAUACGGAGGGUGCGAGCGUUAAUCGGAAUUACUGGGCGUAAAGCGUACGCAGGCGGUUUGUUAAGCGAGAUGUGAAAGCCCCGGGCUUAACCUGGGAACUGCAUUUCGAACUGGCAAACUAGAGUGUGAUAGAGGGUGGUAGAAUUUCAGGUGUAGCGGUGAAAUGCGUAGAGAUCUGAAGGAAUACCGAUGGCGAAGGCAGCCACCUGGGUCAACACUGACGCUCAUGUACGAAAGCGUGGGGAGCAAACAGGAUUAGAUACC